rnacentral:lncRNA from 1 species
AAUUGGCUGGGUUCACGCAGAAGGGAACUCUUGACAGACAGGCAGAGAGGCUCACACUCACACUCACACUGCCCCACUCUCACACACAUAUUUACACUGCCCCACACUCACACACACACACACACACUGCCCCACACUUACACUGCCCCACUCUCACACUCACACACACACACACACACACACACUGCCCCACACUCACACUGCCCCACACUCACACACACACACACACUGCCCCACACUCACACACACACUCACACUGCCCCACUCUCACACACACACACACACACACACACACACUCACUCACACUGCCCCCCCCACACACACACACACACACUGUCCCACUCACACACACACUGUCCCACACAGACACUCACACUGCCCCACACACACACUGCCCCACACACACACACACACACACACACACACACACACACACACACUGCCCCACACACACAGCCCCACUCACACUCACACUGCCCCACACACACUCACACUAACACACACACACACUGCCCCACUCACACUGCCCCACACACACUCACACUAACACACACACACACACACACACACACUCACACUGCCCCACACACACACUGCCCCCCACACACACACACUCACACUGCCCCACACAGACACACACACUGUCCCACACAGACACUCACACUGCCCCCCCCCCCCCCCCCCCCCACACACACACACACACUGCCCCACUCACACUGCCCCAUUCUCACACUAACACACACACACUGCCCCACACACACUCACACUAACACACACACUGCCCCACACACACACUCACACACACACACUAACACUGCCUCACACACACACUCUCACACUCACACUGCUCACUCUCACACUCACACUGCCUCACUCUCACACUCACACUGCCCCACUCUCACACACACACACUCACACUCACUCUGCCUCUCACACACACACUCACUCUGCCCCACACACACACUCACACUGCCUCACUCUCACACUCACACUGCCUCACUCUCACACUCACACUGCCUCACUCUCACACUCACACUGCCUCACUCUCACACACACACUGCUCCACUCUCACAACCAAUGGACGCUUGGAGGGGAUGGAGGCUGGUGUUGGCGUGGAGACACCGUUGUCGUUUGACACCCCGGACGCCACCUUGACCCAGCUCCGUCAGUAGCUGUUUUAGAGCGUAUGGGCCUGAAAGACACCCUCAGCUCUUUCCAAAGUCAGUGGCUGUUUUAGU